UUAAGCGACUAAGCGUACACGGUGGAUGCCCUGGCAGUCAGAGGCGAUGAAGGGCGUGCUAAUCUGCGAUAAGCGCCGGUAAGGUGAUAUGAACCGUUAUAACCGGCGAUACCCGAAUGGGGAAACCCAGUGUGACUCGUCACACUAUCAUUAACUGAAUCCAUAGGUUAAUGAGGCGAACCGGGGGAACUGAAACAUCUAAGUACCCCGAGGAAAAGAAAUCAACCGAGAUUCCCCCAGUAGCGGCGAGCGAACGGGGAGGAGCCCAGAGCCUGAAUCAGCAUGUGUGUUAGUGGAAGCGUCUGGAAAGGCGCGCGAUACAGGGUGACAGCCCCGUACACAAAAGCGCAUGUGCUGUGAGCUCGAUGAGUAGGGCGGGACACGUGGUAUCCUGUCUGAAUAUGGGGGGACCAUCCUCCAAGGCUAAAUACUCCUGACUGACCGAUAGUGAACCAGUACCGUGAGGGAAAGGCGAAAAGAACCCCGGCGAGGGGAGUGAAAAAGAACCUGAAACCGUGUACGUACAAGCAGUGGGAGCCCCACCACCAAAGCAUUCUCUGGUGUUGAAGGCCCUGCAAAGCAGCAUCGCGGUGGCGGAGCGUCGUUUGCGACGCCCAACACACAAAACAAGCGGUGAGUGCUUUGGGGUGGGGUGACUGCGUACCUUUUGUAUAAUGGGUCAGCGACUUAUAUUCUGUAGCAAGGUUAACCGAAUAGGGGAGCCGUAGGGAAACCGAGUCUUAACCGGGCGUUAAGUUGCAGGGUAUAGACCCGAAACCCGGUGAUCUAGCCAUGGGCAGGUUGAAGGUUGGGUAACACUAACUGGAGGACCGAACCGACUAAUGUUGAAAAAUUAGCGGAUGACCUGUGGCUGGGGGUGAAAGGCCAAUCAAACCGGGAGAUAGCUGGUUCUCCCCGAAAGCUAUUUAGGUAGCGCCUCGUGAAUUCAUCUCCGGGGGUAGAGCACUGUUUCGGCUAGGGGGCCAUCCCGGCUUACCAACCCGAUGCAAACUGCGAAUACCGGAGAAUGUUAUCACGGGAGACACACGGCGGGUGCUAACGUCCGUCGUGAAGAGGGAAACAACCCAGACCGCCAGCUAAGGUCCCAAAGUCAUGGUUAAGUGGGAAACGAUGUGGGAAGGCCCAGACAGCCAGGAUGUUGGCUUAGAAGCAGCCAUCAUUUAAAGAAAGCGUAAUAGCUCACUGGUCGAGUCGGCCUGCGCGGAAGAUGUAACGGGGCUAAACCAUGCACCGAAGCUGCGGCAGCGACGCUGAUGCGUUGUUGGGUAGGGGAGCGUUCUGUAAGCCUGUGAAGGUGGCCUGUGAGGGUUGCUGGAGGUAUCAGAAGUGCGAAUGCUGACAUAAGUAACGAUAAAGCGGGUGAAAAGCCCGCUCGCCGGAAGACCAAGGGUUCCUGUCCAACGUUAAUCGGGGCAGGGUGAGUCGACCCCUAAGGCGAGGCCGAAAGGCGUAGUCGAUGGGAAACGGGUUAAUAUUCCCGUACUUGGUGUUACUGCGAAGGGGGGACGGAGAAGGCUAUGUUGGCCGGGCGACGGUUGUCCCGGUUUAAGCGUGUAGGUGUGUGUUCCAGGUAAAUCCGGUUCACUUUAACACUGAGGCGUGAUGACGAGGCACUACGGUGCUGAAGCAACAAAUGCCCUGCUUCCAGGAAAAGCCUCUAAGCAUCAGGUAACAUCAAAUCGUACCCCAAACCGACACAGGUGGUCAGGUAGAGAAUACCAAGGCGCUUGAGAGAACUCGGGUGAAGGAACUAGGCAAAAUGGUGCCGUAACUUCGGGAGAAGGCACGCUGACACGUAGGUGAAGUGAUUUACUCAUGGAGCUGAAGUCAGUCGAAGAUACCAGCUGGCUGCAACUGUUUAUUAAAAACACAGCACUGUGCAAACACGAAAGUGGACGUAUACGGUGUGACGCCUGCCCGGUGCCGGAAGGUUAAUUGAUGGGGUCAGCGCAAGCGAAGCUCCUGAUCGAAGCCCCGGUAAACGGCGGCCGUAACUAUAACGGUCCUAAGGUAGCGAAAUUCCUUGUCGGGUAAGUUCCGACCUGCACGAAUGGCGUAAUGAUGGCCAGGCUGUCUCCACCCGAGACUCAGUGAAAUUGAACUCGCUGUGAAGAUGCAGUGUACCCGCGGCAAGACGGAAAGACCCCGUGAACCUUUACUAUAGCUUGACACUGAACAUUGAGCCUUGAUGUGUAGGAUAGGUGGGAGGCUUUGAAGCGUGGACGCCAGUCUGCAUGGAGCCGGCCUUGAAAUACCACCCUUUAAUGUUUGAUGUUCUAACGUGGACCCGUGAUCCGGGUUGCGGACAGUGUCUGGUGGGUAGUUUGACUGGGGCGGUCUCCUCCUAAAGAGUAACGGAGGAGCACGAAGGUUGGCUAAUCCUGGUCGGACAUCAGGAGGUUAGUGCAAUGGCAUAAGCCAGCUUGACUGCGAGCGUGACGGCGCGAGCAGGUGCGAAAGCAGGUCAUAGUGAUCCGGUGGUUCUGAAUGGAAGGGCCAUCGCUCAACGGAUAAAAGGUACUCCGGGGAUAACAGGCUGAUACCGCCCAAGAGUUCAUAUCGACGGCGGUGUUUGGCACCUCGAUGUCGGCUCAUCACAUCCUGGGGCUGAAGUAGGUCCCAAGGGUAUGGCUGUUCGCCAUUUAAAGUGGUACGCGAGCUGGGUUUAGAACGUCGUGAGACAGUUCGGUCCCUAUCUGCCGUGGGCGCUGGAGAACUGAGGGGGGCUGCUCCUAGUACGAGAGGACCGGAGUGGACGCAUCACUGGUGUUCGGGUUGUCAUGCCAAUGGCACUGCCCGGUAGCUAAAUGCGGAAGAGAUAAGUGCUGAAAGCAUCUAAGCACGAAACUUGCCCCGAGAUGAGUUCUCCCUGAGACUUAGAGUCUCCUGAAGGAACGUUGAAGACGACGACGUUGAUAGGCCGGGUGUGUAAGCGCAGCGAUGCGUUGAGCUAACCGGUACUAAUGAACCGUGAGGCUUAACCUU
rnacentral:rRNA from 1 species